AUGGGUGGAUCCCAGUUCUGGCAGUCCGUGAUCCAGCUUCUGCCCAUCCUCCGCAUCGGUACUUCCAUCUCUGUUGGCUUCGGGUCCUCGACCCUGUUCUGGUUCGACCGAUGGCUAGGAGACUCCCCCUUGGCUGUGCGAUUCCCAGAUCUCUUUGCCAUUGCGGCCGACCCUCGGGUCUCUGUCGAGACGGCCCUUAUUGACUUAGGGCGUCUUGCUUUCCGUUGCCCCUUCGGCCCCCUCGAGGUGGCUGCUUGGGACUCCCUCCUCCAAGAUGUGACCCUUAUGUCGAUGAACGUCGAGGAGGACCAGGAUGCCAUUUCUUGGCACCUUGAGCCAUUUGGCCGCUUCUCCACGAAGUCCUUGUACGCCGCCAUCACGCCCUCGACGGCCCCGGAACCCUUUAGCCUGAUCUGGGACAUCCGCCUCCCUCUGAAGAUCAGGAUCUUCCUGUGGCAAUGGAUCCGUGGACGCCUCCCCUCCGGGGUUGAAGUCCUCAAGCGUAACGGCUCAGGCGAUGGGAGAUGUCCCAUCUAUGGCACGAUCGAGGAUGCUAACCACAUCUUCUUCUCGAGCUCUACUGCCCAGUUCAUGUGGGCUUGCUUCCGCGAAACGGUCGGUGGACAGUGGUGCAAUACCAACUUCCCCGACCUACUUGCGGAACUCAACGCCUCCCCUACUCGCUACCGCCAUAUGAGAUGGUUGUGCAUUGGGAUCCUCGCCUGGACGCUUUGGAACAUUCGCAACAAGCUUGUCAUUCAGAAGGUGCCUCUCCGACGUGCGACUGACGCUAUCUUCAAAAUGUGUGGUUACUUGCAGCUUUGGCGGCCGCUUAGCCGCCCCCAGGACCGGGACGUCAUCACCACCCUCCUCACCGACCUUCGCUUGAUGGCGCUCCGCUUGGCUCGCCCGCUGCCGCCCCCUCCGCCAGAGCCUGACUAG
rnacentral:rRNA from 1 species